AGGAUUAACGCUGGCGGCGUGCCUAACACAUGCAAGUCGAACGAGGUAGCAAUACCUAGUGGCAGACGGGUGAGUAACGCGUGGUCAACCUACCGUUGAGUGGGGGAUAACUAGCCGAAAGGUUAGCUAAUACCGCAUACGUCUCCGAGGGGCAUCCCUUGGCGAUAAAAGGAGCAAUCCGCUCGAUGACGGGACCGCGUCCCAUUAGCUAGAUGGUGGGGUAACGGCCUACCAUGGCACCGAUGGGUAGCUGGUUUGAGAGAGCGACCAGCCACACUGGGACUGAGAAACGGCCCAGACUCCUACGGGAGGCAGCAGUGAGGAAUUUUCCGCAAUGGGCGCAAGCCUGACGGAGCGACGCCGCGUGUGGGAAGAAGGCCUUCGGGUCGUAAACCACUGGUCGAAGGGGACGAUAAUGACGGUACCCUUGGAGGAAGCCCCGGCUAACUACGCGCCAGCAGCCGC
rnacentral:rRNA from 1 species